rnacentral:rRNA from 1 species
AUUGAACGCUGGCGGCAGGCCUAACACAUGCAAGUCGAACGGUAACAGGAAACAGCUUGCUGUUUCGCUGACGAGUGGCGGACGGGUGAGUAAUGUCUGGGAAACUGCCUGAUGGAGGGGGAUAACUACUGGAAACGGUAGCUAAUACCGCAUAACGUCGCAAGACCAAAGAGGGGGACCUUCGGGCCUCUUGCCAUCGGAUGUGCCCAGAUGGGAUUAGCUAGUAGGUGGGGUAACGGCUCACCUAGGCGACGAUCCCUAGCUGGUCUGAGAGGAUGACCAGCCACACUGGAACUGAGACACGGUCCAGACUCCUACGGGAGGCAGCAGUGGGGAAUAUUGCACAAUGGGCGCAAGCCUGAUGCAGCCAUGCCGCGUGUAUGAAG